rnacentral:rRNA from 1 species
UACGUAGGGCGCAAGCGUUGUCCGGAAUUAUUGGGCGUAAAGAGCUCGUAGGCGGUCUGUUGCGUCUGCCGUGAAAACCCGAGGCUUAACCUCGGGCCUGCGGUGGAUACGGGCAGACUAGAGGUAGGUAGGGGAAAACGGAAUUCCCGGUGUAGCGGUGAAAUGCGCAGAUAUCGGGAGGAACAUCGGUGGCGAAGGCGGUUCUCUGGGCCUUACCUGACGCUGAGGAGCGAAAGCGUGGGGAGCGAACAGG